AAAACAAUUAACGGAAGACUAUGUAACUUGUGCUUUACAGCGGCCACUGUGGACACUAGUGGUAAUUACAGGAUAAUAGCACAUUCAAUUCCCCCUCAUUUCCCUA